rnacentral:ncRNA from 1 species
UGCUAGGGGUGCAUCUGCUGAGAUUGAAUCUUUGAUUCUAACCCUCAUUACUUGAACCGGAUAAUACCGGCGUAAGGAAGCAGCA